UACGUAGGGGGCAAGCGUUGUCCGGAAUCAUUGGGCGUAAAGCGCGUGUAGGCGGUUCGGUAAGUCUGCUGUGAAAGUCCAGGGCUCAACCCUGGGAUGCCGGUGGAUACUGUCGGGCUAGAGUGCGGAAGAGGCGAGUGGAAUUCCCGGUGUAGCGGUGAAAUGCGCAGAUAUCGGGAGGAACACCAAUUGCGAAGGCAGCUCGCUGGGACGUAACUGGCGCUGAGACGCGAAAGCGUGGGGAGCAAACAGG
rnacentral:rRNA from 1 species